UGCUUCAGUCAAACGUAACAAGAAGAACUCACAGUCUGCAUGCGACAAAUAAAGUGUAAUUACUACCAUGAAAAACAACACAAUACUAAAACAGUAAGUAAAUCUGUGGGUUAAUUAAUGUACUAAAUCAGCUAGAAACUUCGAGACGAAUAAGGAACAGUGAAUUGUAACUAACUUCAGGAAACAAAUAAGUAACCGAAAAUAUAAACAACUUCACCUGGGUUCCAGUGCAGAAGAAUAUCUGAAUUUUGUUUUUCAUUUACUAAUAAGAGUAUACAAUGUUAUGUUUUGAGGAAUUUCAGUCAUUAGCUAACUUCCUUGGAGUAGAGAAGCCAAAUGUAUUUGUUGACGAACAAUGGAAGAGACCUUGUGUGGAAACAUCAGCUGGAAAACAACUGUGUGGUCUGGUCUCCAUUUCCAAAUACUUAACAGAUAAAAGUCACCAGCGAAGUCUUCUUGGUACAAAUAUUGAAGAGUCCUCCUUGAUCAAUCAGUGGCUGGAGUACAGAACUGUGUAUAUUAAUCAGGUCCACCAGAAGAGUGAUAUGGUGAGAGUGUUAGAGGAUCUGGACUUAGUUCUUCAGAAGAAGGUGUAUUUUGUAGGUAAUAGGUUGACUCUUGCUGACAUUAGUAUCUACUAUGGUCUUCACAGAAUCUUUGCCAGCAAAAUUCUGGAAUUGGAUAUGGUGGUGACAGGAAGUUCCUACAGUAACGGAUAGCAUAAGCAAUCGAGGUAAGUUUGACAUUCCAAGAAAAAGAAAAAUAUCUACAUUUAUCUCGUUGGUUUAAUCAGGUCCAGCAUGUGCCUGAAGUAAGACAGACCUUACCAGUGGUGGUGUUUAGUAAAAGUAGAUUAUACAAGACUACUACACUUUAGCUUUGCAUCCAUGCUUGCUGUGUUUCCAUUGAGGUGGAAAAUUAAUGAGGAACACUUCAGUUCUGUAUGAUGUAAGCUGUAUUUUAAGUAUGCAAAAUAAAAUAUGUAUUAUAAACUUGA